ensembl:lincRNA
GACUUUAUCAGACCUAAACAAGGAUGGGAAGAUGGAUCAGCAAGAGUUCUCCAUAGCUAUGAAACUCAUCAAACUGAAGCUUCAAGGCCAGCAGUUGCCUGUGGUUCUCCCUCCUAUUAUGAAGCAACCCCCUUUGUUUUCUCCAUUAAUUUCUGCUCGUUUUGGAAUGGGAAGCAUGCCCAAUCUGUCCAUUCCUCAGCCAUUGCCUCCAGCUGCACCUAUAACAUCAUUGUCUUCUGCGACUUCAGGGACCAACCUUCCUCCUUUAAUGAUGCCCACUCCCCUAGUGCCUUCUGUUAGCACAUCAUCAUUACCAAAUGGAACCGCCAGUCUCAUUCAGCCUUUAUCCAUUCCUUAUUCUUCUUCAACAUUGCCUCAUGGGUCAUCUUAUAGUCUGAUGAUGGGAGGAUUUGGAGGUGCUAGUAUACAGAAAGCCCAGUCUCUGAUUGAUUUAGGAUCUAGUAGCUCAACUUCCUCGACUGCUUCACUCUCAGGGAACUCACCCAAGACUGGGACCUCAGAGUGGGCAGUUCCUCAGCCUUCAAGAUUAAAAUAUCGGCAAAAAUUCAAUAGUCUUGACAAAAGCAUGAGUGGAUAUCUCUCAGGUAAGCAGCAUACAGUGCCGAAGAGCGUGAAAAGGAGCCUUUUAUGUGGACUUCCAUUAAAGAACUCUCAUUUGAAUUUAUAUUGUGUAGCUCAUCUGACAUUUUAACAUCCAAAAAAUUUAGCCAGCAUUUGAUAAAUACAAAUACCUUAAGUUGUAUAGGAUUUAAAGAUCGAUUCAACUUGAUUACUUUCUUCAAAGUUUUUACUCAAGUCAGGCACUCAGAUAUACCCCCAGCUUUUUGGCAAAAGACCUGUUCUUUAAGAAGAUCAAACCUCAUCCUCUACGGUUUGCAGCGAAUGGAGAGCCCUGGGUCACAAGGGAGAGUGUGUGGAACUUAGCCUCAGCUCGCUUUUCCUGAGAAUCCUCCUCUGCAUUCGGCUUUUUCUCUGCUUGCCCUUACUAUUAUAAAACCUCAGGUGAGCACUGCUCACCAUUCAAUGCUUUAACCCAAAUGUGACUGUAAAACUUGGCUUUAGUUUGCUAUAAAACAUUUGAGUCCAGGCUAGAACAUCAUCCAAACUACUAAUUGAGAACAGUGAAGGGGACAUAAACAGAGGGUAAUAGGCAAGUAGAGUUCCUACCUUCUAACUUGCCCACUCCUUCACUCAGCAAGAAAUUAUGAUUUAGGACCGAGUAAAAUAAGUGUUUAAAAAUAAUAGAGCUUUAAGUGCUAAGGAGCAUAGAGUGGGAGAUAUUAAAGAUGAAGAGUUCAGAUGAGAUAUCUUACAGGAAGGGAGCAUUUAAGCUCCAUAAAAACGUUAGGAUUUGGACAGAUUGAAUGUGAGGGCAUUUGAUGGUGACAAGAAAUUAAGAGGGAAAAGUACAUGGCCUAUUUGGAGAUUGAAAGUAUGAAAUAGGAGUCUAGGGUCUAUAGUUGUACAGAGAGGCAAGGGAACAGGAAGUAAGACUUUUGGAAUUGAUUAGACAAGCAAAAAUAUAUAGUAUUUUAUUUAAAGAUACAUACCUAUGUGUUAACUAUUUUUUAAAGCAAGAGAAUUACGCAUGCAAAAUUCAGGGUAGUGGUUACCUCUUGUGGAAGCAUGUGGAUAAAGUUAAGGAACACAGAUCGAUUCAAGGCAUUUAUUAGUAAUCUAGUUCUUAAGAUGGGUGGUAGGUUCAUGGGUGACUUAUACUUCUUAGCUUAUAUAUGCGCUUUGUAUUUUUACAUGUAUUUCAUGUUACAUAACUAAGAUUUUCUGUAAUUUUAUCAAAUUACAUGAAACAGUGCUUUUUUUUGACAUUUUUUUACAUUUUAAUGUCUCUAAAAUUAGAAUGUGUGCUACAAUUAGUGAUGUCUUAGCACUGUGUCAUGGUUUUAUUAGCUUCUUUUACAUAAAAUGAUAUAGCCAGUGGGAUCUUAGAUUCGGUGAAAUAUGGUAUUGAACUAUACUAGAGAUUAAUGUAAAGUCAUAAUUGCUAUUCUUUGAAAAAAUGAACUUCUUUGUACCCUACAUUUUGCAUUUUAAAAGUUUCUUUUGGCCAGGUGUGGUGGCUCACACCUGUAAUCCCGGCAUUUUGGGAGGCUGAGACAGGCAGAUCAUGAGGCCAGUAGAUCGAGACCAUCCUGGCCAACAUGGUGAAACCCCAUCUCUACUAAAAAUACAAAAUUAGCUGGGCUUGGUGGCACGUGCCUGUAACUCCCAGCCAUUUGGGAGGCUGAGGCAGGAGAAUCACUUGAACCCAGGUGGUGGAGGUUAUAGUUAACCAAGAUUGCAUAACUGCACUUCAGCCUGGCAACAGAGCUAGACUCUGUCUCAGAAAAAAGUUUCUUUUUGCUAAGCACAGUGACAUGUACCUGUAGUCCCAGCUACUUGGGAGGCUGUGGCAGGAGGAUUGCUUGAGCCCAGCAGUCCAGCCUGGGCAACACAGUGAGACCCACAUCUGUAUAAGAUAAACGAGUAAACAGAAGUACCCAUGAGUAAUAGCAUGUGCUUGUAG